GAUGAACGCUGGCGGCGUGCCUAAUACAUGCAAGUCGAGCGAACGGACGAGAAGCUUGCUUCUCUGAUGUUAGCGGCGGAAGGGUGAGUAACACGUGGAUAACCUACCUAUAAGACUGGGAGAACUUCGGGAAACCGUAGCUAAUACCGGAUAAUAUUUUGAACCGCAUGGUUCAAAAGUGAAAGACGGUCUUGCUGGCAUUUAUAGAUGGAACCGCGCUGCAUUAGUUAGUUGGUAAGGUAACGGCUUACCAAGGCAACGAUGCAUAGCCGACCUGAGAGGGUGAUCGGCCACACUGGAACUGAGACACGGUCCAUACUCCUACGGGAGGCAGCAGUAGGGAAUCUUCCGCAACGGGCGAAAGCCUGACGGAGCAACGCCGCGUGAGUGAUGAAGGUCUUCGGAUCGUAAAACUCUGUUAUUAGGGAAGAACAUAUGUGUAAGUAACUGUGCACAUCUUGACGGUACCUAAUCAGAAAGCCACGGCUAACUACGUG
rnacentral:rRNA from 1 species